rnacentral:rRNA from 1 species
CAGUAGCCGCGGUAAUACGAAGGGGGCUAGCGUUGUUCGGAUUUACUGGGCGUAAAGGGCGCGUAGGCGGACUGAUAAGUCAGGGGUGAAAUCCCAAGGCUCAACCUUGGAACUGCCUUUGAUACUGUUUGUCUUGAGUUCGAGAGAGGUAAGUGGAACUGCGAGUGUAGAGGUGAAAUUCGUAGAUAUUCGCAAGAACACCAGUGGCGAAGGCGGCUUACUGGCUCGUAACUGACGCUGAGGAGCGAAAGCGUGGGGAGCGAACAGGAUUAGAUACCCCGGUAGUCCCUGUCUCUUAUAC